GCUGAUCAACAAUAGGGGUUAAAUCUGAGCAUUACUUUUAAUAAGUUGGUCAAAUUUUAUUAGCAGUUACUAAAUGUAAGUGAAUACCAAACCUUAAUAAGAAUAAUAGAACAAAAUUAAUAAAUAAUCCCAUGCAAUGCAUAUGACAAAUUGAAUUUAAGUUCUAUAAAUUAAUCAUGCGAGAGUCCUGAGUUGCUCAUGACCGUGAGCUCGGCUAGUAUACCAGUUUUACACUCUACAGAGGUUGUACCCUGUACCCACAAGUCAUGUUACCCAUCUGCCAAGGGAUCGUGACUCUCAUACACCUCUACCAAGGAAGCGAGGCAGGGAAACACUACGAGGCCUUUACAAAGUUCUACUAGCUUCCGAAAACCCGCUAUAGUUUAUGGGAAGAGCACUUGCAAGAAUCCCUCGUCUGACCGCCAUCGCAGCAAAAUCAACCCAAGAACCUCCCUGCAUGCAACUCCAAACAUGUAAACAAAAUACACAUUAAUAAUCUACAUAUUAAAAUAAGAACCUAGGAACAGGAAUCAUUAAUUUUGGAGUUAUGGAUUUUGAAUUAUGAAUUUCCAAAGGUUUUAUGUGCUUGAUAUAUGAUUAAGUGAGAAAUAAAUUUUACUACUGUUUUCAUGUCAAAACAGAGACUCUAAGUGAUAAACAAUAAUAUUACAAAAUUUUAGAAAGUGGAAUGGAGUAAUUUGGACUAAAAAUGAAUUUCCUAUGAAUUUUACAAGUUCUAGCACUUAUUUAUAUAUUUAAAAUGCAUUUAUAAUUUAAUUUCUCUGGUUUUAUAAUACUCUGGACGGGGCCUCAAUUUCUGGUAAGCAUAGGGGCUCUGGCGCAAAAGAUCCUAAGACACAGACAACCCAGGCCGUGGACUGUGGGUUAGUUCUCUAAAACAUAAGGGCUUUUUCUGCAAAACGCGUACAACGAAGGGGUACCGUGAUCCCUCAACCGUCCGAUCUGAAAUGAGGCGCCCUGAUUAGAUCGACCCCCAUCCCGAACCGGUAUUCAAUAGGAAUCGCCCGAUUAGAAUUCUACGGUUCGAAUUUAAAACCCCCCUGCGAUUGCCCUGGCUCGCCCGAUCCGCAUCGGACGACCGAAACGAAUCCAGGCCAAACCGGUAUCCAGCAUCUAAUCAGAGUCGUUCGCAAAAGGAUCGACGACCGAGAUCGUCCACCACCCCUAGCGACGAAACACGACGACGGCGCGGACAGCACCCGCGGCGGCACGCCAUGCCCAGCGACCCCAAGUUCUCGGUACAACGCCUAAAGCCCUAAUUCGAAGGCGCAACAUGAUGCCCUACAUCUGACGAAUGCAAUGAACGAUCAAUUACCUCACAGUUUGCAGCAGACGAACCCGACCACGGUGAGCGGCGGAACGGUGGGAUUGGUUGAGCUCCGGCGAGGAAUUCAGUCGACGACCGAGGCUUUCCCGGCUCUAAUCCACCACGGUCACGCAACACGCAAACAGGAGUGUUGCCCAGGCACCUUAUCUAGACUAAAACGACGACGAAGAGCGAGUCUACAGCUACGGCGGCGCAACCCGAUUCUGCUCACACCGGCGGCGUCAGGUGAGGGGUUAGGUCGCGUCAACAGGAGGUGGUGGUGCUUAGGGUUUGGGCGCCGUGCUUU
rnacentral:lncRNA from 1 species